rnacentral:rRNA from 1 species
GAUGAACGCUGGCGGCGUGCCUAACACAUGCAAGUCGAACGGAGUCCAGCCUUAGAGACCUUCGGGUCAAAGAGGGGAAGACUGAGUGGCGGACGGGUGAGUAACACGUGGGCAACCUGGCUCAUAGAGGGGGAUAACAGAGAGAAAUUUCUGCUAAUACCGCAUAAGCACACACUGCCGCAUGGCAGAGUGUGAAAAGAGAAUCGCUACGAGAUGGACCCGCGUCUGAUUAGCCAGUUGGCAGGGUAAGAGCCUACCAAAGCGACGAUCAGUAGCCGAUUUGAGAGGAUGAACGGCCACAUUGGGACUGAGACACGGCCCAAACUCCUACGGGAGGCAGCAGUGGGGGAUAUUGCACAAUGGGGGGAACCCUGAUGCAGCGACGCCGCGUGAGUGAAGAAGUAUUUCGGUAUGUAAAGCUCUAUCAGCAGGGAAGAUAAUGACAGUACCUGAAUAAGAAGCCCCGGCUAACUACGUG